rnacentral:rRNA from 1 species
GUGGGGAAUUUUGGACAAUGGGCGCAAGCCUGAUCCAGCAAUGCCGCGUGCAGGAAGAAGGCCUUCGGGUUGUAAACUGCUUUUGUACGGAACGAAACGGUCCGGGUUAAUACCCUGGGCUAAUGACGGUACCGUAAGAAUAAGCACCGGCUAACUACGUGCCAGCAGCCGCGGUAAUACGUAGGGUGCAAGCGUUAAUCGGAAUUACUGGGCGUAAAGAGUGCGCAGGCGGUUUUGUAAGACAGGCGUGAAAUCCCCGGGCUCAACCUGGGAAUUGCGCUUGUGACUGCAAGGCUGGAGUGCGGCAGAGGGGGAUGGAAUUCCGCGUGUAGCAGUGAAAUGCGUAGAUAUGCGGAGGAACACCGAUGGCGAAGGUAAUCCCCUGGGCCUGCACUGACGCUCAUGCACGAAAGCGUGGGGAGCAAACAGGAUUAGAAACCCCGGUAGUCC